rnacentral:rRNA from 1 species
CCGGGAGAUAGCUGGUUCUCCCCGAAAGCUAUUUAGGUAGCGCCUCGUGAAUUCAUCUCCGGGGGUAGAGCACUGUUUCGGCAAGGGGGUCAUCCCGACUUACCAACCCGAUGCAAACUGCGAAUACCGGAGAAUGUUAUCACGGGAGACACACGGCGGGUGCUAACGUCCGUCGUGAAGAGGGAAACAACCCAGACCGCCAGCUAAGGUCCCAAAGUCAUGGUUAAGUGGGAAACGAUGUGGGAAGGCCCAGACAGCCAGGAUGUUGGCUUAGAAGCAGCCAUCAUUUAAAGAAAGCGUAAUAGCUCACUGGUCGAGUCGGCCUGCGCGGAAGAUGUAACGGGGCUAAACCAUGCACCGAAGCUGCGGCAGCGACACUGUGUGUUGUUGGGUAGGGGAGCGU